GAUCCUACGGGAGGCAGCAGUAGGGAAUUUUCGUCAAUGGGCGCAAGCCUGAACGAGCAAUGCCGCGUGAACGAGGAAGGUCUUCGGAUCGUAAAGUUCUGUUGAAGGGGAAAAAGAGCGGAGAGAGGAAAUGGUCUCCGAUUGAUAUUACCCUUCGAGGAAGUCACGGCUAACUACGUGCCAGCAGCCGCGGUAAUACGGAGGAUGCGAGCGUUAUCCGGAUUUAUUGGGUUUAAAGGGUGCGUAGGCGGACAGUCAAGUCAGCGGUAAAAAUGCGGUGCUCAACGCCGUACAGCCGUUGAAAC
rnacentral:rRNA from 1 species